CAAUGAGUGUUAUUGGAGAUAAAUUGUUAUUGUUCCGUGUUUGUAGACCAAUAAACGAACGAAUGACAAUUCAUUGUAAGUGAGCAAAUAUUUUCAUACACUGGGUUAGUUUACAAAAAAUAGUAGUCUUUAAAGAUAUACACAUUUCUUGCUUAUGUAAAAAAUAAUUAACAUAUUUAAGCAGCAUUUUCCUUCUCAGUGGGUGUUGACAUUGUAUAUGAACUGCGGUGUCGGAUAUUAAGGAUAUCGUGUAAUUCAUUUGAAAUUCGAAAUCCAAGGUGUCACCACGAUUCCUAGCAUAUAGAUGGGUGCAAAUGCUGAAGAAAUUCCGGUGAAAACAUGCAUGGUCCAGCAAAAGAACCAAAGAAACUGUCUCCUGCCACCUGUGUCUACAGACGAUGGUGUAUAGUUUGUACCACCAUUGGGUCGGAAUUAGAACAGAAAUCCUCUCUCAAAACCAAAGAAACCAGAUGCAGCUCGAGAGAAAACCUCCAAAACAACGUGAUUGUGAAACAAAACGACUGGAAGACAAUGAUUUGGAGGGAUUAAGUUGGUGACUAUGGAGCGAGAUUCAUUUGUUUGUCGAUUGGUUGUGAUGAUUUUGUGUUGUGGUAUGGUCGAGUUCUUGCAGUGUUCGUGUUAUUGUUUUUCGUUGUUGGUAUUGUUUGCCGUGUCCGAAUCUUCAGUAGUACGAGUUGCCAAAUAUAUAUUUUCGCUCCAAAUUUUUAUGCCCCCCUUCAAAUCAAAGUACUGAAAGUACUCAUGGGAGUUGAACAUUGUGGAAAUUCAGUUAGAACAGAUAGCACUGGAAGGGUAGGGGGAUAAAUGACUGAAUAUUAUCAUGAUUUUAGAUACAAA